UGGGGAAUAUUGCACAAUGGGGGAAACCCUGAUGCAGCGACGCCGCGUGAGUGAAGAAGUAUUUCGGUAUGUAAAGCUCUAUCAGCAGGGAAGAAAGAAAUGACGGUACCUGAAUAAGAAGCCCCGGCUAACUACGUGCCAGCAGCCGCGGUAAUACGUAGGGGGCAAGCGUUAUCCGGAUUUACUGGGUGUAAAGGGUGCGUAGGUGGUAUGGCAAGUCAGAAGUGAAAACCCGGGGCUCAACCCCGCGGAUUGCUUUUGAAACUGUCAGACUGGAGUCCGGGAGAGGUAAGCGGAAUUCCUAGUGUAGCGGUGAAAUGCGUAGAUAUUAGGAGGAACACCAGUGGCGAAGGCGGCUUACUGGACCGGAACUGACACUGAGGCACGAAAGCGUGGGGAGCAAACAGG
rnacentral:rRNA from 1 species